GAUGAACGCUGGCGGCGUGCCUAAUACAUGCAAGUCGAGCGAACGGACGAGAAGCUUGCUUCUCUGAUGUUAGCGGCGGACGGGUGAGUAACACGUGGAUAACCUACCUAUAAGACUGGGAUAACUUCGGGAAACCGGAGCUAAUACCGGAUAAUAUUUUGAACCGCAUGGUUCAAAAGUGAAAGACGGUCUUGCUGUCACUUAUAGAUGGAUCCGCGCUGCAUUAGCUAGUUGGUAAGGUAACGGCUUACCAAGGCAACGAUGCAUAGCCGACCUGAGAGGGUGAUCGGCCACACUGGAACUGAGACACGGUCCAGACGCCUACGGGAGGCAGCAGUAAGGAAUCUUCCGCAAUGGGCGAAAGCCUGACGGAGCAACGCCGCGUGAGUGAUGAAGGUCUUCGGAUCGUAAAACUCUGUUAUGAGGGAAGAACAUAUGUGUAAGUAACUGUGCACAUCGUGACGGUACCUAAUCAGAAAGCCACGGCUAACUACGUG
rnacentral:rRNA from 1 species